AGAGUUUGAUCAUGGCUCAGGAUGAACGCUGGCGGCGUGCCUAAUACAUGCAAGUCGAGCGAACCACUUCGGUGGUGAGCGGCGAACGGGUGAGUAACACGUAGGUGAUCUGCCCAUCAGACGGGACAACGAUUGGAAACGAUCGCUAAUACCGGAUAGGACGAAAGUUUAAAGGUGCUUCUGGCACCGCUGAUGGAUGAGCCUGCGGCGCAUUAGCUAGUUGGUAGGGUAAAGGCCUACCAAGGCGACGAUGCGUAGCCGACCUGAGAGGGUGAACGGCCACACUGGGACUGAGACACGGCCCAGACUCCUACGGGAGGCAGCAGUAGGGAAUCUUCGGCAAUGGGCGAAAGCCUGACCGAGCAACGCCGCGUGAAUGAUGAAGGCCUUCGGGUUGUAAAAUUCUGUUAUAAGGGAAGAACGACUUUAGUAGGAAAUGGCUAGAGUGUGACGGUACCUUAUGAGAAAGCCACGGCUAACUACGUG
rnacentral:rRNA from 1 species